rnacentral:lncRNA from 1 species
AAAAUCGAGCUGGGGGGUUCCCUGGUCCCCGAUGUUGGGGCGGAGAGCGCGGCGCCGAGGGAGGGGGCGGCGCAGACCGGCCUAGGGGACACCUGGUCGAGCGCAGCCGCCGCUCCGCUCGAGCCCUGCGCUCCAGUGCCCCCACUGGCUGGAGAGCUCGCCCAGACCGGGGGUCUUCCUCCGUCGCUGACAGAUUUUAACCAUUAGAAGAGUACCAGUUCUGGAAAACAACCAAAGUUUCUUUGAUUGAAUGCCCAUGUAAUGCAUUGGAAUAUGAUAGGCGAUUAAGGUUUAACAAUGUUAAAAUGAAGAUAUUACUAAAAUGGCCCUCUAAAUAGCCCAACAAUUAUUAUUUUCUUUGUCCUAUGGAUUUGGCUUUGAAAGAUGUGCUGCUCUUAAUAAGGUCUUCACACUGUGUUAGAAAUAAGGAAGGUGAUAAAGAGUGCCUGUAAGCAUUAAUUCUCUCUCUCGGGCAGAAACCUACGUGUUCCUCUUCCAGAGAGCUGGUGAAGCCAAAGGCAUUCUCAUAAUGAUGCGCUACACCGACUGAUAUUUACCAACUGUGUCAAAGCUACAGGAGCCAGGUAGACACUGCUGGAACUUUAAAGGAAUCAAACAAGUCUAUAAGAAGCACUGAGCUGUGCCACUACCCAAUCAGUGUUCUUCCAGAGCACACAAACGAAAGUGGGAGGAGCCCUCCAAUGAGAGCUGUUGUGUGAUUAAUCAAUGAGGCUGACUAAAGCACACACUUAUAAUCCCAAUACUAAGAAAGACAGAGGAAGAAGGA